rnacentral:misc_RNA from 1 species
GAUGAAGAACGUAGCAAAAUGCGAUAAGUAAUGUGAAUUGCAGAAUUCAGUGAAUCAUCGAAUCUUUGAACGCACAUUGCGCCCGCCAGUAUUCUGGCGGGCAUGCCUGUUCGAGCGUCAUUUCAACCCUCAAGCACAGCUUGGUGUUGGGACUCGCGUUAAUUCGCGUUCCGCAAAUUGAUUGGCGGUCACGUCGAGCUUCCAUAGCGUAGUAGUAAAACCCUCGUUACUGGUAAUCGUCGCGGCCACGCCGUUAAACCCCAACUUCUGAAUGUUGACCUCGGAUCAGGUAGGAAUACCCGCUGAACUUAAGCAUAUCAAUAAGCGGAGGA